rfam:Beta vulgaris subsp. vulgaris Bvchr5.sca020.con0052.1, whole genome shotgun sequence.
CACCGCCCGUCGCUCCUACCGAUUGAAUGGUCCGAUGAAGUGUUCGGAUCGCGGUAACGUGGGCGGUUCACCGCCGGCGACGUCGCAAGAAGUUCACUGAACCUUAUCAUUUAGAGGAAGGAGAAGUCGUAACAAGGUUUCCGUAGGUGAACCUGCGGAAG